UCUUAAAACCAACUGGUAAAUUUCUUUUUUUUUAAGUUGAAAAAAAAUAAGAUUUUACUGUAUUUCAGUGAGAUACACUGGCAGACUAAGAAUUUAUAACUUCAAGUAUCUUUAGUUAAAAAUCUCAUGACGUGUAUAGGCCUAAAGAAUCACAUUCUAAGUAGAUUUAGCUCUUUAGUCUUUCAUAUUAAAAUCAGAGACAAUCAGAAGUCUCAAAGACAUAAUUUGCUAUUGCUUUGCUAUUUGAGAAAGAGAAGCAGAAAAGUAAACAUAUAAAAAAUCUAGGAGAGCUAUGUGCUUUGUAUGGUAUGUUCUGGAUUCGGGUUAGAUUUGGUCUAAUCACAACAUAUUCUACAUCUAUAUUCUGUACAUUAAUCAUCGAGGUGGCAAAAGAUUUUAUAUUUGUUAUUCUAUAGACUAUAACAAAAAAUGGGCUCAAUACUGAAGCUCAGCAAGUACUGAGGUUUAAAAAGCCAUUUUUCUUAACCCUCUAAUAUAAAAAAAAUACAGUUAGCUAAUCUGCCCAAUGUUUGUAUUGCUGCCUCCCACUCUUAUUCUGGGUCUCAGCCCAAAGGUCACCUACCCAAACAGCUACUCCCUGUCCUACAGCCAAAGUUGCCUGUCCCCACCCCCAUUUCAUGCUUUAUUUUCUUCAUAGCAUUUAUUUUGUAGUCAAAUAAUCUUACUUUUUAGUUUAUCUGUGUGUUUAUCUUUGAUUUUUCUCACAAGCAUGUGAGCUCUCUGAGAACAGGACUUCUGACUGCCUUGCUCAUUACUGUGCCUUAGAAGAGGAUCUGGCACAUAGUAAGGGCCAAAAGGAUGAAAACAGUGGCUGAGUAUGAAUCACUACACAGUAGGUUUGCAGGCUCAUCCUUGUUUUCUACUGCUGGGGUUUGGGAGCUGGACAUGGAUAAAGUCCCACAUAUUUAGAGCCCACCAUUGUUUCCCAGACACCAGUCCCUAUGUCAUGGAACGAUGAAGUAGCAACGCCCUUACAGAGAAAGGGGCCUCUGCCCUGAUCCGGCACUGUAAAGAGCUCCAUGUAUCACUAGGGCAACUCACCCAAACUUCUGUUAAGCCACCUAAGAGAUAGUCUGCCUCGGGAUCAGGGCCCACAACACUGACAUGGCAUCAUCCUUAAGCCUGAAUAUCCACUCUGACAGGUAAUACUGCCCAGGCCCUGGGAAAAUGUCUCUCGACUUUACUGGCCUUAUGUUCUCAAUCCAAAGGGGGCUGUGUUUGAUUUUAAUUAGGUUUUUUUUUUUUUUUUUUUUUUCAGUGUCAGCAAUAAACACUGCUUUAAAGAGCAUGAGAAUCUGAGAGGGAGAAUUUCUCAGGAGAUCCCUUGGAGAGGCGGCACUUAUAACAGUGGCAAAUAGCGGCCAUGUAACUUUCUACAAUAUGGAACAGCUAGUUACUCAUCCAAACAUCACCGGCCCAUCAACAGAACAGACAUAUAUAACAAUAAUUAAAUUUGGUUGUAUUUUGCAUUUUGCCAACUUUCUAUUUUGUCAUCAUGAAUGUAUAUUUUUAAGAUGAGAUGAUAGCACAUAUUUUAUUUAACAAUUUGCUUGAUUUAUAGCCUUAAAUAUUUAGACAUAUGGUGUGUGGGCCUCUUGCUCUAAGACCCACAAUUCUUAGAAACAGGACUACAAACGAAGAAAAUGUACCCACACCACUCUGGAUCCCUGUCUAGUUACUAUUACUGCAUAACAAAUUACCCCCAAACUCAGCAGCUUACAACAACCAUUUUAUUAUGAAAACAAUGUGUAUCAGGAAUAUAGAAACUCUGGCUGGGCCGUUCUUGCUUGGGAUCUCUCAUGCACUUGCAAGACAUGUCAACUGAGCUGUGUCUUUCUCAAGGCUUGAUCAGAUUGGUUAUCCAGGAGGGCCCACUGAUGACUGGCAGUUAAACUGCCAAUCAGCAGGGAGCUAAGCCAAGACUGUUGACCAGAGACCUACCACAUACCUCUUCAGCAUGGCAGUCUCAAGGUGCUUGGAUUUUACAGGGCAUCUGGCUGCCUCCAGAAAGAGUCCUAAGAGAACCAGGCAGGAACCCAUGACAUUCUAUGGCCAAGCAUUGGAAGUCACAUAAUACCACAUAGUCACAAAGUAUGCAUCUUAUUGUAGGAAGCUGUCACAAGCCUGCUCAGAUUUAAGGGGAAUGGACAUAGAUCUCAUCGUUCAAUGGGAGGAGUGUCAAGUCCCCACUCUUAGGUUAUUUCCUUAGUCUACUAUACGGGACAGGAACUGACCUGGAUCUGUUUGACACUGCUUUGUGCCUAACAGCACCCAUGUAGGGCCUGUGAGGUGAGGCCCAGUGGUAAUUGACCAGUUGCCUGAAUUGAGGACACAUUGAUGACUGUAGGUUUCUGUAUCUCUAGCACAAUCAGCUGCAUGGCUGAAAAAUUGAUUUCAAAAUUUAUGUAAGAAAAAACUAUUGUCAAUAUAAUUUUUCCUUUGUUUUAUUAGAAUACUACAAAGGGUACAAUCCAACAUCAUUAUAUAAGUAUAUCACCUGAGAAAAAUGACUUAAAAUAGCAGUAUGAUAUUAUAAGCUGGAUCAUUCACCUGAUAUGAACUAAAAAUGAGCAGCUCUGAUGUCACUUAGAGAUUGAAAAAAUACAUAGAAAUGAAUAUUUUCAUAGGAAGUAAAAGAAAAAGAACUGCCAGCAAUUGUAUGAGAGCAUCAUGUGGUAUAUCGGAUAUCUUUUGGUUGCAACAGAUAACCAAACUCAAAUGGUCUUAAAGCAAAAAGAGGGGGAGUAAGAGUAGUAGGGAACAUGGGAAAACUUACUUGUUCAUGUAACUAGAAAUCUCCAAAGUGUUGGUUUCAGGUGAAGCUUGAACCAGCAGUUCAACAACAUUACCAAGAACUUGCCUUUCCCCAUAAUCUUCCAUAUGCCUGAAUGCCCUUGUAUGGCUCAUUGGUAAUUUUAACAAUUUGUUCAGCUCCCACUCUCCAUUCCUAAUCAGAGCUUAAUUUCCUUUUGAAGAAUAACUGGUUUGUUUUUUUUUUAAGAAGUAUUUAUUUGUAAGAAAGAGAACACAUGCAUGAGUUGAGGGAGGAACAGAGAGAGACGGAGAGAGAGAGAAUCUCAAGCAAAUUCCACACUGAACAUAGAGUCUGAUAUGAUGUGGGGCUCAAUCUUAGAAACCUGAGAUCAUGACCUGAGCUGAAAUCAAGAGUUGGAUGCUUAACCAACUGAGCCACUCAAGUGCCCCCUGGAGAAUAACUGCUUAAUCUUCAUGAGAAAGUAAUUCCAAGCACCAGUUUCACCUCUGCUGAAACUGAGAGAAACAGACUUCACCCCUCCCUGUACUCAUCCCUACCUGAGCCCCAAAGUUGUGAACAGACAUAUGACUUAAGCUUCAACAGGUAAAUGUUCUUUUUGGGAUCUUAGAUCUUUUUUUUUUUUUUAAGAUUUUAUUUAUUCAUGAGAGACAGAGAGAGAGAGAGAGAGAGGCAGAGACACAGGCAGAGGGAGAGGCAGGCGCCAUGCAGGGAGCCCAAUGUGGGACUCGAUCCCGGAUCUCCAGGAUCACACCCUGGGCCGAAGGCAGCGCUAAACCACUGAGCCACGGGGCUGCCCUGGGAUCUUAGAUCUUGACAGGUCCACAAGGAAGGAGCAGAGGCAAGCCAAACCAGAAUCUUCUUCAUAAGCAACUUUGCUUGCUUCCCAGAUCCAAAGCAAAGCCUUUGGUCCUGCCCACUGUCUAGUCUGGUUCUCCAUAUCUAGUCAAUUCUGAGAGCCCCAGAAGUAUUCCCACUUGCUUAGGAUGCUUAGGUCUUGCUUCUUGAUUGACAAAACGAUGAAGACUUUUUGGGCAUGGUCAUGCAAAGGACAGAUGCCCUUUUCUGUGUCCCCAUGGCACUGUGUAUCAUAUCUUUUGAUAUGCUCUUAUCACAUUACACUACUGAUUUGUCCAUCUGUGUUCCCUACCAGACUGAGAGCUCCCUAAGAUUAACAGGAGCCUUAACUUAUACUUAGUCCAGACUGGUCAAUAUUAGGCAUAUAAAAUAAUGUGUUAAAUUAAUUAAAUAAUCUAUAUGGAGAGAAAAGACAUGCUUGUAUUAAAUUAUUCUAAAACUUAAGGCAGUAUAUUAUUAACCAGAAAGCAUAAGGGCUCUUUACAGGGUGUGGAACUGCCAGAAAGAACAUUUUUAAGCUUUUUUAUGAGAAGUUAUUGCACACUCUUUUUUUCCCCAAUAAAGAAACCAGGCUUCCUUCAAGAAAUGCCUAGUUCCAGGGCUAUGGAAGGAAAAAAUACAAGAAACAUCUGUUUGCACUGGAAAAUGAAGAAUUACAAAAGAAUAAAAAAGAUACCUUAACAACAACACAGAAGCCAGCUUGAGGGGGUUUCUUCUGGCCCAAGUGAGGACAAUUUGAGCAUCAAAAUAAAUAAUGAUAAUGAAAGAGUAUAGCCCAUUGAAUAGGAAACCAUGAGUCCACAGAGAUACAAAUAAUUUAAUGUAUAAAUAAAAAAUUUAACAAAGAAUAAGAUAUUCACAUAGUUUCAAAAUACCUCUACACAAAAUGUUUAUAAAUUACAAAGGAGUAAUUUUCCAGAGUAAUGCCUGCAGACAGCACCUUAAUCAAAAUGACCAAAAUGAACAUCAUCAAAAAUGAGGCAGAUUGAAACUGUGCAUUACCUGAUAAGGUGCACAAGAAUGCCGCAUCAUUUUGUGACAUUCCUACUGAAGAUGCAUGAACUCUAGGUAUGAGGAGACAUCAGACAACAUCCAAAUGGAGGAUCAUUCUACAAAACAACUGGCCUGUAAACUUCAAAAGUGGCAAGGUCAUGAAAGUCAAAAAAAGACUGAAGACUCCUUUCAGACAGGAGACGAAAGAGAUGAUCACCAAAUGUAACAUAUAGCAUCGUUGGGACAAUUGGUGAAAUAAAAAUGAGGAUCACCAGUAAUAAAGUGUUAAUGUUAACUCUCUCACUUUGAUGGUAUAUUCUGGUUAAAGAGGAGAAUGUCCUGUUUAUAGGAAAUUCACACUAAACUAUCUGUGGGUUGGCAACUUACUCUCAAAUGUUUCAGGAUAAAUAAGUUAUUUACAUGGGUACUUCCAAUUUUUCUGUAAGUUUGUGAUUGUUUAAAAAACACAUACAUAAAUCAGGAUUGAUCUUCAGUCUAGUAGAUGAUCAACUGUAGGAUAGAAUCUGAAGAGCUGCCCACAGCCAUUGGCCAGUUUCGAUCUGUAAUUUUCAUUCUGUUUUGUUCUUAUUAGGAUGAUGUGUGUUUCUGUCACACUUUCUUAUGUUAUCUAUUAAACUGCAAACUCUA